rnacentral:rRNA from 2 species
GUUGACCUCGAAUCAGGUAGGACUACCCGCUGAACUUAAGCAUAUCAUA